rfam:Schistosoma rodhaini strain Burundi genome assembly, scaffold: SROB_scaffold0001871
AUCCAGCUGACAAGUCCCAAAUGGGACGAAACACGUGUCGUAGAU